rnacentral:rRNA from 1 species
GAAAGACCAGAAAUAAAUUGGAGAAAACAACUUUGAG